AUCGAUCGGAUUUCUAGUUGCAAUUCUCUGUCCCUUGGCGCUGGGCAGGGAAGGGGGAGCCACGGCGCUGAGGCUGGGGAGGGGCUAAAUGGGGGGAAGGUCUCUUCGCCCCCUGUCUCAUUCUCUCCGCCUAGUCCCGGCCCUGAGUGCCGCCCCAGAAAUGGGUGAGGGAACGUGGUGGGUUGGGACACACCGGGGAGGGCACAAACUGGAGGCAGCUGGAGACGUCGCCAGGGACCCAGGACUCCCUCCUCCCAGUUGCCGGGUCCGGCCGGCCCCAAAGGCCACUCCCUCUGUAGCGCCCACGCUGCCCCGGGCGGCCCCCCGGCUAGCAGCCUGACCCCUUGCCCCAGGCGCCGGAAUGUCCUCUCUCCGGAUGAACUGCUUCGGCCCCCACUUCGGAGAAGGUGCACCCGAGUCCCGCUUCCUCGGGACUCGCCCUGCAUCAGGCGCCUCAGCCCUCAGGGGAGCCUUCCCCAUCCGACGUCCGAGUUUGCUCCCUCCUUGGGACAGUUUGAAGAAAAGGACAAACUUUUGAGUGGAUAAAAAUCAAGAGGAGCCCUCCGGAGCAGAUGGAGAGGCUGGUUGAUUCUGGCUCUGGGCCGUCUCUCUAAGGAGUACCCCUGAUUAACUGGGUCCCUGCCAUCUACUUCUGCUCAACAAAGGAGGCCACUCGAGGCCUUGGUGGAAGGAUGCACACUUUCUGCCUGUAGCAGCUUCCUUGCCCCAACCUGGCCGCUUGGAGAAGAAGGGAACCUAGUUCACUUUGCUGAAUCCGGAAUCUCAGCCAGCAGAGCCGACAGCUGCAGCCGCAUCCUGGAGCCUGAUGCUGGCAGCAGUUUCUGCCUCUAGGCUCUCCGUGCCGCCUUGGCCUCUGCUCCGUGCGGUUUGCUCUUGUGUUUUUCUCCCUCAUUUAGGGGUGGUGGGGAACAGGGAAAUAAAAUGUGUCUACCAUGCCCCUAAUCCUUCCCCAUGCCCCCACCAAACCUUAAAGCCACUGAUAGUAAUGAACUGCAGCUUCCAGCUGUGCUCAUAAGCUAUUCAAACAAAUGCACAUUCUCUUCGGGGCAGGAGGAAGGCAGAUGCCCCUUCUCAGCCCUCCCUUGCUCACUGAUCCAUUUUGAGCAUUUUAGGGUCACAACUGAGACCAGAUCACUUCAGUUGGUAUAAAAUUAGCAUUUUUCACCACACCAAAGGCCUAGAUUUGUUGAAUCAAGGAAUAAGAGGUCUUUAUCCAGACCCACAUCUCUUCUCUGGCCUCUCAAAACAGUAAUGAUGUAAAGACUUGUUGAGGUGGAAAAAUAGAAGAAAAUGAGCAAUUUGCUCCAUCUAGAAGUCAGUAACUUCAGCUGUUUAUUCCACUAAUGUUUCUUUAACACCUACUAUGCAAAGCAUUGUCUCAACCUCAGUUUGUCAUGACUGCCAAAAAUGAUUCUUGCCACUGUGAGGCUUCAGUGUGUGUAGAAAAAUAUAAAAAUAAAUCAAUGGAAAAGAAAA